UGGCUUUGAUCCUUGUCCCUUGUCGGCGUGCGUUUGUGCCGCUCCGAAUGGAACGCUAUAAAUGUUUUGUUGACAAGUUAACCAACCCCGGCACGGAAUGUGCCAAGGAAAAAAAAAACAAAAAAAGGUUGUACCUGGUUUUUGCCCCGUUCGCGGUGUGCAUGCUGGUUGUGACCUCUUUGAAACAAAAACGACUCUCGGCAACGGAUAUCUCGGCUCACGCAUCGAUAAAAAACGUACCAAAAUGCGAUACUUGGUGUGAAUUGCAAAAUCCCGUGAACCAUCGAGUUUUUGAACGCAAGUUGCGCCCAAAGCCAUCCGGUUGAGGGCACGCCUGCCUGGGCGUCACGCAUCGCGUCGCUCCCCCAUGUAUAUCAAAUUUGGGAUGCAUGGUGUCGGGGCGGAAAUUGGUCUCCCGUGCAACUGCUGCGGUUGGCCCAAACAUGAGUCACCUUCGGUUGACGCACGGCUAGUGGUGGUUGAAUAGGCCCUCGUCUUUUGUCGUGCGUCGUUUGCUGCAAGGAAAGCUCUUGUAUAAAACCCUAU
rnacentral:rRNA from 1 species